UACGGAGGGGGUUAGCGUUGUUCGGAAUUACUGGGCGUAAAGCGCACGUAGGCGGAUCAGAAAGUUGGGGGUGAAAUCCCGGGGCUCAACCCCGGAACUGCCUCCAAAACUCCUGGUCUUGAGUUCGAGAGAGGUGAGUGGAAUUCCGAGUGUAGAGGUGAAAUUCGUAGAUAUCGUGGAGACCAU
rnacentral:rRNA from 1 species